rnacentral:lncRNA from 1 species
GCAAUAUUUCUUAAUAUAAUGGUGUUUUGUUGUUUCCUAAUUACUCAAGUGUUAAAUCGACUGUAUAUUAUUUAUGUUUGACAGUUCGACCCUGUACGCAUGUCAGAAUGAAGAGCAGCUCUGGCUCUCUGCCUUUUUUUCAAGUGCCAAACAAUUGCUUCUUUCUUUCUUUGUUUCUUAAACUUACCACUGCCUAUAAAAUGUCUAUAGUUCUUUGUUCUGAACAGAUCAACUGAACAAUUUUCAUUUUGUUGCGUAGACUGAACCUUAGUUGCAGCCAUGAUGCAUUGUCUAAUUCAAACCUGUCAAACCAGUCUGCCAUAUAAAUUUCCUCACUGAAGAAAACCACUGAGUGAGACAACAAGGACUAGCAUGUCGAGACGGAUCAAAUCAAGUUACUAGAGAUAAAUAGGCAAGAUACUCAAACAGAAAAAAACCUGGCGGUCAUGUGCUUCUAGAACAGGAAAGACAGGUGUUCUGUCGUCUGAACUCUAGAGAGGAACGAUUCAUUAAUUCCUGGAGACUUUACCCCUUAGAAAAGAAAAUUUUAUUCACAACAACAAUGAAAAGUGUCAUUAUGAUUUAUUUACGUAUGCACAGUCUCCCGGUAGACCUCUUAUAAUAAAGCGUAAUUUCGUAGAAUAAGAGCAGGUGAUUAUGUAACCGCCAAUGAAAUUUUAGAAUUAUACUUUGAUCCCGCCCACUUUAGUUAACUGUCCAAUCAAGUAAAAGAUUACUUCCGCCCGCCUGCCGCGUUGAACGCAGAUUGUACAACGCGUUUUGCCUGAAAAGAAAAACAGUUUGGACUCGAAGACCUACUCCAAGCCUGGGAUAUUUUACUUAAAAUUCUUCAUGUUUGCCUUUUAAAAGCAAAGCGGAGGCAACUUUUUUUUUCAAGAGUGACCGCCCAAGAACCCCAAGGCGUCUUGACUGGACUUCCCAAACACAAUAAACUGCCCGAAUUUGCCAAUGACAUAAACAAGGAUUUGCAGACUCUUCCUGGGGUCGAGUUGGCCAGCCCCAACACUGUUGGAUUUUUGUGGUAACGUUGUAAAGCUGAAAGGAAGCAGAUUUGCCAGUCACCAUGCCGGCCCUCUCCACCAGAAACAGCAGUGAGAUAGGUACCUCAUCUUACACCUCAUACCUCAUUGCACGGCAGUUAUAAGGUCUUCUAGUUUGACCAGCCAAAUAUGGACCAAAUGACAACUUAUGAUUAAUAAGUGUAAAAUUGUCUUUUCAGUAACACAUCUAAUGUUUCAACUCAUGAAAAUUUGUUUUUAAAUAUUUCAAAAGAAACCUCUUAUGCUUAUCAAUACUGAAUUUAUUUGAUCAAAAAUACAGUAAAAAUGCCAAUAUUGUGAAAUAUUACAAUUGAAAAUAACUAUUCUAUUCAUAUUCUAUUUGAAUAUGUUUUAAAAUGUAAUUUAUUUCUGUGGUGACAGCUGAAUUUUCAGCAGCCAUUACUCCAGGCUUCAGUGUCACAUGUUCACUCAGAAAUCUUUCUAAUAUGCUGAUUUGGUGUACAAGAAGCAUUUACUUAUCAAUGUUGAAAACUGCUUAAUAUUUUUUGGAAACUGUGAUAAUUGUUAAAAAAAAAUUCUUUAAAUAGACAGUUCAAAAGAACAGAAUUUAAAUUAAAUGAAAAUCUUUUGCAGCAUUUAUAAAUGUCUUUUCUGUCACUUUUAAACAAUUUAAUGCAUCCUUGCAAAGUAAUAGUAGUAAUUUCCUUACAAAAAAAAAAAUACUGACCCCUAAUUUUUUAAUGUCAGGUUUUUUUGUGUUUGAGGCCAUACUGCUGUAUAAUUUGUAACUCUUGCACACUUUGUGCACACUUUCUCUUCUUUUUUUUUCUUGUCUGCCCGCAUCCCUCACUCUGUCUCAUUUCCUUUAUAAAGAAGGUAUUACCGAGUGAAUGUAGUCCAUUAGAAACUAAUACCUAGUUGAGGUAUAAAAGUCUGAUGGAUGAGCACAAGGUUGCUGGGAGACAUUUGGUAUGGAUAGGUUACGUCUGAUAUGUAUGAUCCUGUCUUGCCCAACAGAUUUUUAAUGAACACUUUGAAAGCCCAGUAAGCCACUGUGGAUCUGAUAGAUUAGAACCAUUACAUACCUCAUGUCAAGAUGUGCGCAUGGGCUCUGGUGCCCGAAACGUUAUGCCACUGCUCUUAAUGUGUUAAUGGCUGCUAUGCUGUUGUUGGACACCUGACAUAAACCCUCUCGCUCUCUCUCUCGCUCACACACACACACACACACACACACACACACACACUUGCACACUUUAAAUGUUUCAUUCAUAAGGCAGGAAAUUGAAAUUUAAUCACCAAAGCCCACUAAAUUGAUCAAGGGUGAUUGCCACCAAGUUAUUAGCUUGUUUUUGGCUCCUCUGGAUCUGGUUCUCUCUCUUUGAAACUCUCCAUCACAGUGUCUGUUCUGUUCUAGUCUCAUUCCUCUGUAUGGACAUAAAAUA